rnacentral:rRNA from 1 species
GACAGAGGGUGCAAACGUUGUCCGGAAUUAUUGGGCGUAAAGAGCUCGUAGGCGGUUCGUCGCGUCGGCUGUGAAAUCCCGAGGCUCAACCUCGGGUCUGCAGUCGAUACGGGCGGACUGGAGUUCGGCAGGGGAGACUGGAAUUCCUGGUGUAGCGGUGAAAUGCGCAGAUAUCAGGAGGAACACCGGUGGCGAAGGCGGGUCUCUGGGCAACAACUGACGCUGAGGAGCGAAAGCAUGGGGAGCGAACAGG